UAGAUUUUUAAAAAAUAAUGUUAAAUGUUUUUCAAAGUCUGAAAGUGAUGAAGAAUUAAAUACACUUACUGAGUCCAUGGAAUAUCUGAAAUAUACUUUGGAUGAAGAAAAGAAGAAAAAUGAGGAACUGCAAAAUGAGCUAACUAGAUAUAAGCAACUUUUAAAAAUGACAAAAGCAAAGUUAAAUGAGCAAGAAAAUGGAGACUUCUGUUUGCAUGAAGAUUUUAAAUCCAAGGAUAUUCCAUUUAACACGUUAAUGCACAAGGUAAUUUUUAAUUACUUAGUUUGGGGAACUAUGAAUCUCUCAGUGUGUUGAGCAGUGAAAUGAGGUUUUGUUCUUUUUUUAACUUUAUAGACUUGAUAUCAAUGAAA
rnacentral:lncRNA from 1 species